CUCCUACCCACUGCAGCCCCCAGGAUCAGGGAGACCCAGUUCCAGCGGUCCCUCCACAGCAGCCCACGUUCCAGGGAAGGCGAACCUUGAUGAAAAGGCCAUGGCGCUGAAGUAGAGAUGGGGUUUCACCGUGUGAGCCAGGAUGGUCUUCAUCUCCUGACCUCGUGAUCCACCCGCCUUGGCCUCCCAAAGUGCUGGGAUUACAGAGAGAUUUCAGCCAUUUCCAGCAACAUUACUGAAUAUGGAGCACCUACAAUGAGAUGGGCCCUAUACAAGGUCUACCCACCUCCUCCCUCUGUGGCACUUCUGAGGGACAGCAAGAGAGACCAACACUCACUGAACACUUACUAUGAGCCAGGCACAGGGGAAGGCACUUCAUACAGGUCUCCUCAUUGAAUCCUCAUAACAACCCACUUUCUAGAUAAGGAAAUAAAGAAGGUGAGUUGCCGAGAGCGCUGCAACUAUUAAGUGGCAGAGCUGGGAGCCACAACCAGAAUGUA